rnacentral:rRNA from 1 species
AUUGAACGCUGGCGGCAGGCCUAACACAUGCAAGUCGAGCGGAUGAAGGGAGCUUGCUCCUGGAUUCAGCGGCGGAAGGGUGAGUAAUGCCUAGGAAUCUGCUUGGCAGUGGGGGAUAACGUCCGGAAACGGGCGCUAAUACCGCAUACGUCCUGAGGGAGAAAGUGGGGGAUCUUCGGACCUCACGCUCUCAGAUGAGCCUAGGUCGGAUUAGCUAGUUGGUGGGGUAAAGGCCUACCAAGCCGACGAUCCGUAACUGGUCUGAGAGGAUGAUCAGUCACACUAGAACUGAGACACGGUCCAGACUCCUACGAGAGGCAGCAGUGGGGAAUAUUGGACAAUGGGCGAAAGCCUGGUCCAGCCAUGCCGCGUGUGUUAAGAAGGUCUUCGGAUUGUAAAGCAUUUUAAGUUGGGAGGAAGGGCAGUAAGUUAAUACCUUGCUGUUUUGACGUUACCAACAGAAUAAGCACCGGCUAACUUCGUG